rnacentral:lncRNA from 1 species
CAUCGUCCAAAAUCAGAAAUAAAAGAGCCAUACGAGAACAUCGAUCUCCAGCUGGUCCGACAUUUCCGCUAGCUUGUGUAUUUCCCGGCAAUUUUCAGUCCAAAACAACACCAAAAUACAAGAUUCCGGUCAAAGCUUGAGUCUCGUUGAGGAUUUCGUUCGAGAUCCGUUGUCGGAUUGGCCUUUGCUCCAGUUUUCUAUUUGAUUUUUAGCUAUGUAUCAGGUAUGAAUCUCGAUUCGAGAUGCUGAAAUUGUUGAUCUGUUCCUCAUCGUAACGAUGUUGCCACUAUUUUCUUAUGCUCUGACGCUUCCUUUGGAUUGUUGAAACAUAUGUUCAUGAUUUGCUCAUCGACGAGUUCAAUUUGUGCUAAUUGUUUACUGCCUCUAUUUUGUUUAAGUCAGAUGAUUCAUGUUCAGCCAUAUGCAAACGAGGGUUUCCUUACGGAGUUUACUGUUGCUGUUCAUUUUCUAAGAAUUGCUUCUAUUCCAAUUAUGACUCAAUUUUUUCUUGGUUUGUUGUUAUUGAGACGCUGUUUAUUGUAGAGUUUUUGUGAAAUUGAGAUAAAAUUCAAUUAACAUAGAUUCUUUUAGUUUGAUUUUUGCGUAAUAUGUGGUGUUUUGAAGCUUAAUUCGUGUGAAUUUCUCAUUGUUAAGGUACUGUAAUUGAAGUCGAACUUUGAGUUCAUGUUGAUCUGUUCAAUCGAUGCUAAAUU